rnacentral:rRNA from 1 species
AUUGAACGCUGGCGGCAGGCCUAACACAUGCAAGUCGAGCGGAUGAAGGGAGCUUGCUCCUGGAUUCAGCGGCGGACGGGUGAGUAAUGCCUAGGAAUCUGCCUGGUAGUGGGGGAUAACGUCCGGAAACGGGCGCUAAUACCGCAUACGUCCUGAGGGAGAAAGUGGGGGAUCUUCGGACCUCACGCUAUCAGAUGAGCCUAGGUCGGAUUAGCUAGUUGGUGGGGUAAAGGCCUACCAAGGCGACGAUCCGUAACUGGUCUGAGAGGAUGAUCAGUCACACUGGAACUGAGACACGGUCCAGACUCCUACGGGAGGCAGCAGUGGGGAAUAUUGGACAAUGGGCGAAAGCCUGAUCCAGCCGUGCCGCGUGUGUGAAGAAGGUCUUCGGAUUGUAAAGCACUUUAAGUUGGGAGGAAGGGCAGUAAGUUAAUACCCUGCUGUUUUGACGUUACCAACAGAAUAAGCACCGGCUAACUUCGUG